rnacentral:lncRNA from 1 species
AAGUCCUUCCAAGAUGAGGGCGUAAGUUCGAAAUCUAAUAUUUUCUUUUAGCUCCUUCAUUUUAGGACCUACUUGAUUGGAACAAUGAGAUUGUUUGUGUUCAUGAGUUUAUUUCAGUGGCACAGUUCUUGAAGGAGGUAUGCAUUCGUCUGUUAGAGACUGCAUUUUGCAAGGAGUAUCGCCAUGCGGCUAUACUGCUG